GUCGCCCCUCAGUCAGGCGUGCGGUGGCAACUCGGACGGUGCCACAAUCUCAGCUCCGUCCCGCUCUUGUCCCUUCUGUGAUCGCGACGUGCUUUGGCGCAGUGUGUGGUGGUCACGGUGUUGUGUCGCAUUGUUUAGCUCGUGAGGCAGCGAUCGCCCCAGCGUGGUGUGGCGGACGGGGUGUCAACCACUGUAGGCCAUGUAAGCCAAAACGUCCCCAUUAGUGCCCUUGUCUCACCCUCCUUGACCCAACACCUGGGUCUUCUUCCUGUCGUCUCAGGGAAGGCAAAGUGCUUGAGGCUUAGAUUAGGGCUGUGAUGGUGGUGGUAGAUGGUAGUAGGUGGUCAGGACCCACAGCGUGGGCCCUUAGAGGUCGGUGAGGGUCCCGUGUUUUUCAUAACCCCUAGGGAGAAGAGGGACGCAUUAAGACCAGUGAGUGAGGAUGGUUAGUGGCAGGGUGCGUGAGGUGGGAGUGCUGGAGUGGCCUGGCUGCUGGACUUAUCAACCAUCAUUGAUUGUGUGUGUGUGGUUGGUGGUGGCUUGAUCAAUACCCGCCCAUCACAACUUCCUCCCGCUGCCCCCUUGAGCUAGCUGCCUCUGCUGGGUACGCGACUGGGCUCUGGCUGGCUGGCUGCCCGUCCCUGGCUUGUUACCAUCUGCCGUCCUAGGGCACCUGCCAUUAAGUAACAUCAUUUGAAGGGGCUCCUGGUUGUAAAACACCAAAAUAACAAGAACUUACAGCCGAUGACCUGGGUCAGCCCUCGACGUCACUAUGUCCAAGGCCAUUAACUCCUACCGAAUUAAGAAGAUCGAGAGCAUCGGGAGGAUGACGGCGCUGACCCAGGAGGAGGUGGCGUCUCACACCCGGACCGUGGUGCAAGGGCUAGAAGCGCUCAGGAAUGAACACAAUUCCAUCCUCAGUGGCAUCAACACCACACUUGCCUCCUCGCACCAUCCGCCAGAUUCCAAUGUUAUUUCUGAAAAGGCCGGCAUUCUCCAGAAGUCCCUUGACCAGAUUGAACUGGGGCUCUCAGAGGCUCAGAUCAUGCUGGCUCUGGCUUCACACCUUCAGACUGUUGAGGCAGAAAAACAGAAGCUGAGGGCUCAGGUUCGGCGGUUGUGUCAGGAAAAUGCUUGGCUGCGGGACGAGCUGGCCUCCACGCAGCAAAAGUUACAGGCCUCUGAGCAACAUGUAGCACAGCUGGAGGAAGACAAAAAGCACCUAGAAUUUAUGUCUACCAUCAAGAAAUAUGAUGCAGAUGUUCAGGAUUCUGAAUCAUCUAUGGAAGAGAAGAAGGACAAGAGUGAUGACCCAGUCGUGGACUUGUUCCCUGAUGAUGAUGCAGAUGACAGGGCUGGUUUAAAGAGAAGCGGUGAUUUUGGUUCUCAAGCAUCAUUAGCUACAAUGUCCCCAACCCCACCGUCCCAGUUUGCUCAGCAGGUGAACGCUGGUUAUGAAAUUCCUGCUCGUUUGCGUACUUUGCACAAUCUAGUGAUCCAGUAUGCCUCCCAGGGCAGGUAUGAGGUGGCUGUUCCCCUCUGCAAACAGGCUCUGGAGGACCUGGAAAAAACGUCUGGUCAUGAUCACCCUGAUGUGGCCACCAUGCUCAAUAUUUUGGCUCUUGUUUAUAGGGAUCAGAAUAAAUAUAAGGAGGCAGCCAACCUCCUAAAUGAUGCACUUGCAAUUCGGGAGAAGACACUUGGUGAAAACCAUCCUGCUGUUGCUGCCACACUCAACAACUUAGCGGUCUUAUAUGGUAAACGAGGGAAAUACAAGGAGGCAGAACCACUUUGCAAACGUGCAUUGGAAAUCCGUGAAAAAGUUUUGGGUCGUGAUCAUCCAGAUGUGGCGAAGCAGCUCAAUAAUUUGGCCUUACUCUGUCAAAACCAGAUCUCUCAGGAGGAGCGUAGAGGGGUGCCUAAGGAGGAGCUUCUCGGCAAGUACGAGGAGGUGGAGCGAUACUAUCAACGAGCUUUAGAAAUUUAUGAAACUAAAUUAGGGCCAGAUGAUCCUAAUGUUGCCAAAACCAAGAAUAAUUUAGCAUCUGCAUACCUAAAGCAAGGCAAAUACAAGGAAGCAGAAAUUCUAUACAAGCAGGUGCUGACUAGAGCACAUGAACGAGAAUUUGGUGCCAUUGAUGGUGAUAACAAGCCCAUCUGGCAGGUAGCUGAAGAAAGGGAGGAAAACAAGAACAAAGUGAAGGACUCUGCACCAUAUGGGGAAUAUGGAGGCUGGCAUAAAGCAGCCAAGGUGGACUCCCCAACCGUUACUACAACUCUGAAGAAUUUAGGAGCACUAUACCGCCGCCAGGGCAAAUAUGAGGCCGCAGAAACCCUCGAGGAUUGCGCCAUUCGGUCACGUAAGGAGGCCGUCAAUCUGGUCAAGGAUGGGAUGACCCCAGAGGGCAGCCGACGACUCUCAGCCUCGAAGGACAGACUCCGAAGGGGGUCGCGAGAGUCCCUUAACUCCGCUGAUUUUGAUGCCAACGACGAUCCCCCAAACUUCCCCUCCCCCAUGGGGUCUACCACUUCACAAAGAUCGCAAGACGACGCACGCCACACCGAAUGAAACGGGCAAGUUCCAUGUCCGUUCUUAGUGGAGAAGAAAAACGGAAAGAGUCUCUGCAGAUUCCCCU
rnacentral:misc_RNA from 1 species